AACCAUGAUGAGGGAAUUUUCUUUGUAACUCUUUCAACUUCCCCCAUGCUUCAUAUAAAGACUCUUCAUCUAGUUGUUGGAAAGAAGUGAUCUCAUUUCGCAGCUU